AAAGGUUGUACAAGCUCUACAGGGAAAAUGAUGAACCACACAAUGUAGUCACAACACAAAGGGUCCACCAGGAAUCAUCCCUCUUCCAGAAUUUGCUAACAAACAGCAUAAAGCAAAGCUUCCACUGCCUUCUUUGAACUGUAUACACCACCAUCAGAAUUUCUAAGCCAUGUUUUGGGAAAGCUUGCAAAUUCUAAGAUUACACUGUAGCCCAAGAACAUUGAUCUUCCUGAUGCCUGUGAAACACCUCUUAGAGGGAUACCACCCCAAGAUACAGGAAGGCAAAAAGCAUCUCAAAUUGUGCUGAGGCCAACAGUGUUUCUACUAAACAGCAGUUAGUUUGCCUGCUAUUACAAACUUCAGCAAGAGUUGAGAAGUUUAAAGAUGAUGUUUAAUAACUAAAAUAUUCCAUCAAUUAACCCUUUGCCUCAGAAAUAGCACAGGUGCUACUGAGUCUUCAAAAGCAGCUAGAUAAUAGAACAUGACUGAAAUUAUUCUGGCAGCCCCAGCCAAAUGAAUGUUUUCUCUGAAUUCUGAGGAGUGAUUUAGGUGUUCACAUGGACUGUAACCCUAGUGUUAGCAAAGCCUGUGUGGCUAACCUAUAUCCUAGUCUCCUCUGUGGCCAUUUCUUAGCUUCAGAGAUUGCUACCAGAGUAAUUUCAAACUUGUCAGUGUAUUUCUUUCAGUCAGGCCUAGUGGAGGGGCAGCUGCACCAAACAUGGCCUGGGGCAGUCAUGCAGGGGUAGGCCAUCAGCCUGUAGAUCAGCUCAGGACUCAGGGGAGCCUGUGGCCAAGCAGGACUGCAGACCAGUGUCCUUCAGCUGGGCUGAAAUGGGACCUCAGGUAGGGCUGCCCAGUUUGUUAUAGCCCACAAGUGCCCUCAGGGUGGUUGUGGUGCUCCCUUGGGAAUGAGGCAGUUUGUUCAGUGUGCACCUGAUGGAGGAGUCCUGUCAGGAGCAGCUGGGCCUGUGCAGUGCCCAGACCCUCCCUCUUUUUUCUAUGAUGAGGCACCUCUGUUCGGGCUGUGGUUUCCCCCAAAACCUGAGUUGCAAGGAAAACAAGCUCUUCAGGAUGCAGAGAGUGGAAGAACUUGAGUAAAUGUCUUCUGCUUUGGCUGGGGCCUUACAACAGGCUUCAGGACUAACGCCACAGGUGCAGCAGCCAUUGGUACCAACAGCAAGAGGACUCUCUGCUGUCCUGGGAAAGCUGUUAAUUUGUUGCAUAAAGCAUGGAGUUAACCCAUUCCAUAAGCAGUGUUCUUCAGAGUCAGCAUGGCAUAUCAUGGAGAAAGGUGAGGAAACCCUGUUUUGUGUGUCUCUCUCUCUCUCUAUAUAUAUAUAUUACUAGUAUAAAAAUACCCAUUGGGAUAAAAAUGUUUGAAGAAAUGUUUGAGAUCUCUAAUUAGGAGUAUAAAUCUAAAAAUAUAUUUAUUCUGUAUUUAAUAAAUAAACCUGCAUUUUAUUGCAUAUAUUAUUAUGAAAUUUUGCUAUUUAAAAAUGGAAAAUAGUAGCACAAAUCAGAAUGAGACCAGUUUCGUGGUCCUUAAACUUCAAUUGAAGUUUAAAAUUGGGCAUGUAGAUAAAGCAUAUAUUUGAAAAACAAGUUAUAUUAUAAAUACAACAACAUAUGACUCAUUAAAAAAAA